UACCAGCACCCCGAGUGGUCGGGACGAUUAUUGGGCCUAAAGCAUCCGUAGCCGGUACUGCAAGUCUUCCGUUAAAUCCACCUGCUCAACAGUUGGGCUGCGGAGGAUACUACAGCGCUAGGAGGCGGGAGAGGCAAGCGGUACUCAUUGGGUAGGGGUAAAAUCCACUGAUCCAUUGAAGAACACCAGUGGCGAAGGCGGCUUGCCAGAACGCGCUCGACGGUGAGGGAUGAAAGCUGGGGGAGCAAACCGG
rnacentral:rRNA from 1 species